AUUGAACGCUGGCGGCAGGCCUAACACAUGCAAGUCGAACGAGUGGCGGACGGGUGAGUAAUGUCUGGGAAACUGCCUGAUGGAGGGGGAUAACUACUGGAAACGGUAGCUAAUACCGCAUACUAUCGGAUGUGCCCCGAUGGGAUUAGCUCGUAGGUGGGGUAACGGCUCACCUAGGCGACGAUCCCUAGCUGGUCUGAGAGGAUGACCAGCCACACUGGUACUGAGACACGGCCCAGACUCCUACGGGAGGCAGCAGUGGGGAAUAUUGCACAAUGGGCGCAAGCCUGAUGCAGCCAUGCCGCGUGUAUGAAGAAGGCCUUCGGGUUGUAAAGUACUUUCAGCGGGGAGGCGUUACCCGCAGAAGAAGCACCGGCUAACUCCGUGCCAGCCGCCGCGGUAAUAC
rnacentral:rRNA from 1 species